rnacentral:rRNA from 1 species
GGGUUGUGAGGUUAAGCGACUAAGCGUACACGGUGGAUGCCCUGGCAGUCAGAGGCGAUGAAGGACGUGCUAAUCUGCGAUAAGCGCCGGUAAGGUGAUAUGAACCGUUAUAACCGGCGAUUUCCGAAUGGGGAAACCCAGUGUGACUCGUCACACUAUCAUUAACUGAAUCCAUAGGUUAAUGAGGCGAACCGGGGGAACUGAAACAUCUAAGUACCCCGAGGAAAAGAAAUCAACCGAGAUUCCCCCAGUAGCGGCGAGCGAACGGGGAGGAGCCCAGAGCCUGAAUCAGCAUGUGUGUUAGUGGAAGCGUCUGGAAAGGCGCGCGAUACAGGGUGACAGCCCCGUACACAAAAGCGCAUGUGUUGUGAGCUCGAUGAGUAGGGCGGGACACGUGGUAUCCUGUCUGAAUAUGGGGGGACCAUCCUCCAAGGCUAAAUACUCCUGACUGACCGAUAGUGAACCAGUACCGUGAGGGAAAGGCGAAAAGAACCCCGGCGAGGGGAGUGAAAAAGAACCUGAAACCGUGUACGUACAAGCAGUGGGAGCCCCACCACUAAGCCAGUGGUGAACUCCACAUACGCAUCCUUUGCUGAAGGUGCGGUUAACGGAGCGCAAGCGACGUUCAACCUCAAAAGAAGCAGAGGGGGCUUAGUGGUGGGGUGACUGCGUACCUUUUGUAUAAUGGGUCAGCGACUUAUAU